GACGAACGCUGGCGGCGUGCUUAACACAUGCAAGUCGAACGGAAAGGCCCUGCUUUUGUGGGGUGCUCGAGUGGCGAACGGGUGAGUAACACGUGAGUAACCUGCCCUUGACUUUGGGAUAACUUCAGGAAACUGGGGCUAAUACCGGAUCGGAGCUCCUGCUGCAUGGUGGGGGUUGGAAAGUUUCGGCGGUUGGGGAUGGACUGGCGGCUUAUCAGCUUGUUGGGGGGGUAGUGGCUUACCAAGGCUUUGACGGGUAGCCGGCCUGAGAGGUUGACCGGCCACAAUGGGACUAAGAUACGGCCCAGAGUCCUACGGGAGGCAGCAGUGGGGAGUAUUGCACAAUGGGCGGAAGCCUGAUGCAGCAACGCCGGGUGCGGGAUGACGGCCUGCGGGUGGUAAACCGCUUGCGCCUGUGACGAAGCGUGAGUGACGGUAAUGGGUAAAGAAGCACCGGCUAACUACGUG
rnacentral:rRNA from 1 species